AUGCCAGAGAAAAAUGUUUCCUUCUCUCAGAUUCGGCUGCCCGACACUCCAGGAGGACGUGGAGGACGGUCAGCCUCUCCCCGCAUCUACCGCAGGUUGGAGGAUCAUUUUCAGUAUCUGUUGUCCACACAUUUCUAAGCAGGGAUCCGGAACCAGGCCUCUCUUCCUUGUAAACAAAACACAAGAACUCUUAUGAGGAUUGAUUUUGAAUCCAUUUUUUCUCUGCCCACACUGACACCUUGUUCAAACCAUGCUGUACCUGUCUCUCGCACACUGCGAGGUUACAGGAUUUGAAACCUAUUUGAAUGUCGUCCACAUAGACGGAAUAUAAAAUGGCCGGUGGUAAGGAAGCACGAAGUGUUGUCAUCUUGACAAUAAAGAGUGUGCAACUGAGCACGCCACCCUGGGGUACA
rnacentral:lncRNA from 1 species